CCCAACUGUCAGCUGUAUUCAUUUUUGCAAAGCCCUUGCCAGAACAAAAAUCUGUUUAUUUGGAGUAAAACACACUUCUGUGCUCCUGAAAUUCUAGGGUUGUAACUGCAAGGGAGGCAGCUGCCAUGAAGAAGGAAUUCACCUUAUCAGAGCACCACUAGUGGUCUUUCACAGGCAUCAAGCAUUCAGGCAGAGUCCUGCAGCUAUUUGCACUCUCAAAGAAAGCUUCCAUGGAAAUUUUACUCAGAAAACACUCUACAGCAGAGCUGGGUCUAACAGAAGCAGCUCUACAACUUUUCUGGUCCAAGGUGGAAACUGAAGCAAAGAGAAGGCAAACAGCCCUGUAUUGGAGUGUCAUCUUCCACCCUCAGUAACUGCACAAUAAACAAACCAUAGGGAAGUUUCUGACCUGAAGA
rnacentral:lncRNA from 1 species